GCACUGUUGAGGAGUCCCACAAUAGGACGAAACGGCCGUGGAGUGC
rnacentral:hammerhead_ribozyme from 1 species